AAUCCGGAACAAAAUGGCGUUUCGAACGGAUGUCAGACAUGUUGUGACGAUGUAGCCUUCCACCUUAAAAAGGAGAUAUUUCUGCAAAAAAUUUAUUCGUGGCUUAUCGGAUAUACAUUUAUGGAUGACAAAAUUCUGUUUUAUAAAUUUGGAUUUAUGUUGGAAAUACACGUUUCAACAUUUUUUCAGUUUUCUUUGUUUAAUGCCCUGUUGGAUAUUUGAAUAUCCAACUGAUUGACGGUUGGAUAUUAAAAAUAUCCAACUCCUAUCAGUUGGAUAUUUAUAUAUCCAACAACUGAUGAUUGAAUAGUG
rnacentral:sRNA from 1 species